rnacentral:rRNA from 1 species
GGCUCAGGACGAACGCUGGCGGCGUGCUUAACACAUGCAAGUCGAACGAUGAAGCCCUUCGGGGUGGAUUAGUGGCGAACGGGUGAGUAACACGUGGGCAAUCUGCCCUUCACUCUGGGACAAGCCCUGGAAACGGGGUCUAAUACCGGAUAAUACUUUCUCCCUCCUGGGAGAAGGUUGAAAGCUCCGGCGGUGAAGGAUGAGCCCGCGGCCUAUCAGCUAGUUGGUGGGGUAAUGGCCUACCAAGGCGACGACGGGUAGCCGGCCUGAGAGGGCGACCGGCCACACUGGGACUGAGACACGGCCCAGACUCCUACGGGAGGCAGCAGUGGGGAAUAUUGCACAAUGGGCGAAAGCCUGAUGCAGCGACGCCGCGUGAGGGAUGACGGCCUUCGGGUUGUAAACCUCUUUCAGCAGGGAAGAAGCGAAAGUGACGGUACCUGCAGAAGAAGCGCCGGCUAACUACGUGCCAGCAGCCGCGGUAAUACGUAGGGCGCAAGCGUUGUCCGGAAUUAUUGGGCGUAAAGAGCUCGUAGGCGGCUUGUCACGUCGGUUGUGAAAGCCCGGGGCUUAACCCCGGGUCUGCAGUCGAUACGGGCAGGCUAGAGUGUGGUAGGGGAGAUCGGAAUUCCUGGUGUAGCGGUGAAAUGCGCAGAUAUCAGGAGGAACACCGGUGGCGAAGGCGGAUCUCUGGGCCAUUACUGACGCUGAGGAGCGAAA